AUACCUUUCUCGGCCUUUUGGCUAAGAUCAAGUGUAGUAUCUGUUCUUAUCAGUUUAAUAUCGGGAAAAUUCCUUAAAAAUACACGAAGUUGAUAUGUCUAUAUUUUACAUCAUUUAGAGUGCAUUUUAGAGUUCUCAUCAUAUGUUUUCCCAUGUAAAUUGAGUCUUUAGACAUGAAAAUAGGAUUUAGGACUUGCAUUAGGUCCCAAAGAGUUUUGCAUGUUUU
rnacentral:snRNA from 1 species